rnacentral:rRNA from 1 species
UACGUAGGGCGCAAGCGUUGUCCGGAAUUAUUGGGCGUAAAGAGCGUGUAGGCGGCCGUACAGGUCAGCUGUGAAAACUCGAGGCUCAACCUCGAGACGUCGGUUGAAACCGUACGGCUAGAGUCCGGAAGAGGAGAGUGGAAUUCCCGGUGUAGCGGUGAAAUGCGCAGAUAUCGGGAAGAACACCCGUGGCGAAGGCGGCUCUCUGGGACGGUACUGACGCUGAGACGCGAAAGCGUGGGGAGCAAACAGGG